UACGUAGGGUGCAAGCGUUGUCCGGAAUCAUUGGGCGUAAAGAGCGUGUAGGCGGCCCGGUAAGUCCGCUGUGAAAGUCCAGGGCUCAACCCUGGAAAGCCGGUGGAUACUGCUGGGCUGGAGUCCGGAAGGGGCGAGUGGAAUUCCUGGUGUAGCGGUGAAAUGCGCAGAUAUCAGGAGGAACACCAAUGGCGAAGGCAGCUCGCUGGGACGGUACUGACGCUGAGACGCGAAAGCGUGGGGAG
rnacentral:rRNA from 1 species